rnacentral:rRNA from 1 species
UACAGAGGGUGCGAGCGUUGUCCGGAAUCACUGGGCGUAAAGGGCGCGUAGGCGGCUUUUCACGCGUGCGGUGAAAGCUCGGGGCUUAACCCGGAAACUGCCAUUGAUACUAUUUGUCUUGAAUAUUGUUGAGGUGGGCGGAAUGUGUCAUGUAGCGGUGAAAUGCAUAGAUAUGACACAGAACACCGAUUGCGAAGGCAGCUCACUGGGCAAUUAUUGACGCUGAGGCACGAAAGCGUGGGGAUCAAACAGG